CUACGGGUGGCACCAGUGGGGAAUAUUGCACAAUGGAGGAAACUCUGAUGCAGCAACGCCGCGUGGAGGAUGACACUUUUCGGAGCGUAACUCCUUUUAUAUAGGAAGAAGAUGACGGUACUAUAUGAAUAAGCGCCGGCUAACUCCGUGCCAGCAGCCGCGGUAAUACGGAGGGCGCAAGCGUUACUCGGAAUCACUGGGCGUAAAGAGCGUGUAGGCGGAUUAAAAAGUCAGAAGUGAAAUCCUAUAGCUUAACUAUAGAACUGCUUCUGAAACUCUUAAUCUAGAAUAUGGGAGAGGUAGAUGGAAUUUCUGGUGUAGGGGUAAAAUCCGUAGAGAUCAGAAGGAAUACUGAUUGCGAAGGCGAUCUACUAGAACAUUAUUGACGCUGAGACGCGAAAGCGUGGGGAGCAAACAGGAUUAGAUACCCUAGUAGUC
rnacentral:rRNA from 1 species